UACAGAGGGUGCAAGCGUUAAUCGGAAUUACUGGGCGUAAAGCGCACGUAGGUGGCUUGAUAAGUUGGAUGUGAAAUCCCCGAGCUUAACUUGGGAAUUGCAUUCAAGACUGUCUUGCUAGAGUGUGGAAGAGGGAAGCGGAAUUCCAGGUGUAGCGGUGAAAUGCGCAGAUAUCAGGAAGAACACCCGUGGCGAAGGCGGCUCUCUGGGACGGUACUGACGCUGAGACGCGAAAGCGUGGGGAGCGAACAGG
rnacentral:rRNA from 1 species